rnacentral:rRNA from 1 species
AACAGGAUUAGAUACCCUGGUAGUCCACGCCCUAAACGAUGUCAACUAGUUGUUGGGGAUUCAUUUCCUUAGUAACGUAGCUAACGCGUGAAGUUGACCGCCUGGGGAGUACGGUCGCAAGAUUAAAACUCAAAGGAAUUGACGGGGACCCGCACAAGCGGUGGAUGAUGUGGAUUAAUUCGAUGCAACGCGAAAAACCUUACCUACCCUUGACAUGUACGGAAGUCUGCUGAGAGGCGGAUGUGCUCGAAAGAGAACCGUAACACAGGUGCUGCAUGGCUGUCGUCAGCUCGUGUCGUGAGAUGUUGGGUUAAGUCCCGCAACGAGCGCAACCCUUGUCCUUAGUUGCUACGCAAGAGCACUCUAAGGAGACUGCCGGUGACAAACCGGAGGAAGGUGGGGAUGACGUCAAGUCCUCAUGGCCCUUAUGGGUAGGGCUUCACACGUCAUACAAUGGUCGGUACAGAGGGCUGCCAAACCGCGAGGUGGAGCUAACCCCAGAAAACCGAUCGUAGUCCGGAUCGCAGUCUGCAACUCGACUGCGUGAAGCUGGAAUCGCUAGUAAUCGCGGAUCAGCAUGUCGCGGUGAAUACGUUCCCGGGUCUUGUACACACCGCCCGUCACACCAUGGGAGUGGGUUUUGCCAGAAGUAGGUAGCCUAACCGUAAGGAGGGCGCUUACCACGGCAGGAUUCAUGACUGGGGGUGAAGUCGUAACAAGGUAACC